rnacentral:lncRNA from 1 species
GUUUGAAGCAGGCAGCCGUCAGCAUUUGGUGGGAGGCCCUGGACCUAGAAACAAAAAAUGAAAGUGGAGAAAACCAAACAAGAAUCUUUCUUUCUUAAAGUAAACAUCGGACUGACAUCUCCUUUCAAACAUUCAUUGAGGAUCUACUCUGUGAGAAGAAGCAAUACCAUGUUAUCUCAUUCUAGUUCCAGUUCUAGUUGACUUGAUUGUCAAACGACUGCUAAGAAGGUGAAAUAGAGGAGAUGACAUGAAUGAGGGACUACAUUGGAAUGAAGAAGAACCUGGAGGAGGUAAAAAAACUGAAGGCUCCGGAUGUCGGACGAUGGAAAAUAAAAACAACAAGCAAGUGAAACUCCCUGACUUAUCAACCUUACUCAAGAACUAUGCUCCUGUUUAGGUAUGCAGACCUGACUUCUUGACUGCAGAUCCCCCAAAACCAGAAUUGGGUGCUCUGAACAUGCUCAAGAGAAAGUCAAAUUUGAAACCCAUUGUGUUAAAACCUGUUGUAAGGAAAAAAAAAAAAAAAACUACAAAGAACUGUAUUUUGUCAUCGUAAUUACAGAGAUGUAGAAAAACGUGUUUUCUACAAGAUGCAAAAAUAUGUGAGACCUCUUUAUAACACAUGGUAUGUUAAGAAACAGCUGUUCAGCUACGACAUUAAAAUGCUGGU